AGCAAUGUCAGUGAUAACAAGCAAAAAUAGGACAGGGGAGAAAGCCAAGAGUCUUCAGACCACAAGAGAAGGAGAGAUUAAUUCUGGAAAAUCCACCUGGAUGGACAGCAGCAGAGGGAGGAGGAGGCAGGACAGACCAGAAGAGAGACAAUGAGGUUCUGAACCUAGAUGUUGGCCAAGGGAGCAGAGGAGGGCAGGUCAGGAGGCCCUCGCCCUGCAAUCACCCUUCCUGGGAGCCUUCACUUCACCUGUGAUCUCAAGACCUCUCCCUACUGCCUGACUCGCGCCGAGCUUAUGGAACAUCUUCCCUUGAGGGUCGCAGUCCAUUCGAUGAGCCCUUGUCACAGGUCCUGCUUCUGUGGGGAGCUCAAGCGCGGACACCCUUGGAACACUCCCCAAGUCUCUUCCUUCCCAUCCAGCACCACUUCCCUAAGUCACAGCUGCACCACCUCUCAUCUGGACUGCUCACAGCAGGUGGAGUCAGGAUCAAAAUAGCCAAAGAAAAAGUAAGAAUCCGUAUACAGGAAACAAAUAUGUGAUGAUGACCGGAGCAGCUCAGAAUCAGAACUUGAGCAAGACCUGGGCUGCUUUGAUUUUCUGAAGGUCUCAAAAUAUUAGGGGCAAAAAAGAAAAUAAAAAAAGAAAAAAAAGAAGGAAUACCAAAAGCAAGUUACAUAAAGUAUGAGAUAUAUUACAUGUUUCCAGUGAACAAGUGAACAGUUUGGCACGUCAAAGACACAACGUCAGAGCAUUUAGCCUCAAUUGGCGAUAACCUGAAAAGCCUGAAAAGCAAAGCCUUCUGGGAAUGUGAGCUCCAGUUCUGGGAUGAACCCUGAAAAGGACAGAGUGAGCCACACGUGGUGGCCGGACCAUGGGUAAGGGGUGAGCACUGCUGGGCUCCAUUCUGCUGGAAGGACGGACAAUCUCCUUCUGCACAAUAACUGGUGUGAGGGGGCCGGACGCUGUGAGGGUCAGGAAGGGGAGGGUCCACCCAAAGUAGGCUAAUGGAGCAGUUGGUGACCCCAUUUCCCCAGCUUUCAGCCAGAGAUAUCCCAGAUGUCAUGGGAGAGCCAUUGGAUGCUCUCAGCUCUGAAUUUUCAUGCCUCUGCCACGGUUAGCAUCAGAGCAGUGAUUUCCAUCCAACAUAGCAAAAAACUUUUCAUGGGAGACCAAAAGCUUGUGGCUUCAGAAUGAAUCCAGAAAAAAAAAAAAAUCCCUGUCAUGAGGGUGAAAGGAGCUGCCAGCCUCAACAGGGCUCCUUGGAGAAGACAUUUGAGACUUACAUUCCAGGCAAAGUGGCACUUCACAUUCUGGGUUCUGACCUUCUUGGAAUAAAUGUCUCCACCUGCGGGCAGAA
rnacentral:lncRNA from 1 species